rnacentral:sRNA from 1 species
GACAUCCUUCCCGGGUAUCUUUCGGAAGCCUAUGCAACCUUAUCAGGGUCCGCGACUAUAAAUAACGGAUGCAAGUAGCGCCAGCUGCAACAUGAUCGAAUUGCGGGGACGUCCUAAAGCCUAGCAGUACCAACACCCGGGGGAAACCCAGGGUAGGCCCGUGUUAACCACACGAGAGGUAAAAACCUGCUAGGAUACUACAAUGGAUGAUCCGCAGCGAAGCCCCUACCGGCGGAAGUCCACGGGGAACGUCCACAGACUAAGUGGUUAUGGGUAAAGCUUAGCUUUGCUUAAGAUAUAGUCGGUCUCCUAAGGAAACUUAGGCGGUACUCGUUCCGUAGGUGAACCUGCGGAAGGAUCAUUACAGAGUUCAUGCCCUUCUGGGUAGAUCUCCACCCUUGUAAAUAUAACUAUCUGUUGCUUUGGCGGAUCGUUCCGGACGUUAAGUCGUCGGAUAGCCGCCAGAGGAUCUUGAAACUCUGAAUUUUAGUGUCGUCUGAGUACUAUAAAAUAGUUAAAACUUUCAACAACGGAUCUCUUGGUUCUGGCAUCGAUGAAGAACGCAGCGAAAUGCGAUAAGUAAUGUGAAUUGCAGAAUUCAGUGAAUCAUCGAAUCUUUGAACGCACAUUGCGCCCCUUGGUAUUCCGGGGGGCAUGCCUGUUCGAGCGUCAUUAUAACCAAUCCAGCCUGGCUGGGUGUUGGGUCUCGCCUUCCCGGCGGGCCUUAAAAUUAGUGGCGGUGCUCUUAGGCUCUACGCGUAGUAAUUUUCUCGCUAUAGGGUCCUAGGAGAUGCUAGCCAACAACCCCUAAUUUCUUAGG